rnacentral:rRNA from 1 species
AGAGUUUGAUCAUGGCUCAGAUUGAACGCUGGCGGCAUGCCUAACACAUGCAAGUCGAACGGCAGCACAGCAGUAGCAAUACUGUGGGUGGCGAGUGGCGGACGGGUGAGUAAUGCAUCGGGAUCUACCCUGACGUGGGGGAUAACCUCGGGAAACCGGGACUAAUACCGCAUACGUCCUACGGGAGAAAGCGGGGGACCUUCGGGCCUCGCGCGGCAGGACGAACCGAUGUGCGAUUAGCUAGUUGGCGGGGUAAUGGCCCACCAAGGCGACGAUCGCUAGCUGGUCUGAGAGGAUGAUCAGCCACACUGGGACUGAGACACGGCCCAGACUCCUACGGGAGGCAGCAGUGGGGAAUAUUGGACAAUGGGCGCAAGCCUGAUCCAGCAAUGCCGCGUGUGUGAAGAAGGCCUUCGGGUUGUAAAGCACUUUUAUCAGGAGCGAAAUACCACGGGUUAAUACCCUAUGGGGCUGACGGUACCUGAGGAAUAAGCACCGGCUAACUUCGUGCCAGCAGCCGCGGUAAUACGAAGGGUGCAAGCGUUAAUCGGAAUUACUGGGCGUAAAGGGUGCGUAGGCGGUUACUUAAGUCUGUCGUGAAAUCCCCGGGCUCAACCUGGGAAUGGCGAUGGAUACUGGGUGGCUAGAGUGUGUCAGAGGAUGGUGGAAUUCCCGGUGUAGCGGUGAAAUGCGUAGAGAUCGGGAGGAACAUCAGUGGCGAAGGCGGCCAUCUGGGACAACACUGACGCUGAAGCACGAAAGCGUGGGGAGCAAACAGGAUUAGAUACCCUGGUAGUCCA